rnacentral:ncRNA from 2 species
AUUAGUUAUCUGGGGCGCUUUUUAGCUGAGAUGAACCCAUUGAACCUGCUCUGGUUAGGACCAGCGAAGGGAGAUAAACGAUUUUAUUC